GACGAACGCUGGCGGCGUGCUUAACACAUGCAAGUCGAACGGUGAAGCUCCAGCUUUCUGGAGUGGAUCAGUGGCGAACGGGUGAGUAACACGUGAGCAACCUGCCCCAGACUCUGGAAUAAGCGCUGGAAACGGCGUCUAAUACUGGAUACGAGAUCAAGCCGCACGGUGAUGGUCUGGAAAGGUUUGCGGUUUGGGAUGGGAUCGAGGCCUAUCAGCUUGUUGGUGAGGUAAUGGAUCACCAAGGCGACGACGGGUAGCCGGCCUGAGAGGGCGACCGGCCACACUGGGCCUGAGACACGGGCCAGACUCAUACGGGAGGCAGGAGUGGGGACUAUUGCACAAUGGGCGAAAGCCUGAUGGAGCGACGCCGCGUGGGGGAUACGGCCUUCGGGUUGUAAACAUCUUUCAGCAGGGCAGAAGCGAAAGUGACGGUACCUGAAGAAGAAGCACCGGCUAACUACGUG
rnacentral:rRNA from 1 species